rnacentral:lncRNA from 7 species
CUCCACCUAUGGCAAAUUGGAACAAACAUUUUCUGAGGCAUCAAGCCUUAUCUGCCCUUUCGUACUUCUGUCUUUAUUUGGCAGCUGGGGAUCUGAGAGUGAACUGAUGGUGCACUUUGUCCUGAAUGCUGCUAUUACUUCCAUCUUCAUUAUCUAAAUGCAGAGCAUCACAAGGAACAGUGGGUCACAGUGCCCACAGGUUUGAUAGAGCAACCUAAGUUAUCUACCUUCAAAUGCCUGCCUUGCAGAGAAGUGAAAUACUACUAAAUGGAAUGGCCAUUAUUUUUAUUUGAAUUGUCUGAAACAUUUUAUGAUUUUGCUGUUGUUGUUAAACUUAGGAUUCCAAAUCUUCAGAAGACUGAAGGGACAACAACUAGGAAGAACUGGGCAUCACUACUGGUUUGGAUAAGAUAAACAAUUAUGUGUCAUAUUGAGCCUUUCCAUUUACUAUUUUUUUAGCAUAAGUGACCUCUUAUAAUGUCUUCGCAUAUAAUAAACCUGCCUUUUUUUCUUCCCCUGUGAAUCUCCAUUAAGAAGGUGCAAUCCACAUACUAUCUUAGUGCCUGCUAUAAUAGUCACUAGAGCCUAUGGAAGUAUAUCUGUGCAUUUCACUAAACUGUGGUUUGAAAGAAUCCUGUCUGAAGAACACAUUUUAUGGCUCUACAACACAAAUAUCCUUUGGUUUUAAUGGAAGCUUUACUGGCCUGAAGUAAGGUGUUCUAUUAGUCUGUAGCCUAAUGCAUUUUGUUAAUGAGAAUAGAAUUUAACCUUUCCGUUAAAUCUAAAACAUAUCUCUGUCUUGAACUAUGUUAGGUAGAACUUGACAGGAAAAAAAUAAAUGUGAAUCAACAACAAAGCCCGUAUUCUUUGCAUGAAAAUGCUAUUGAUUUCCAUUCAGACUAAUCAGCUCUUUGGGGUAGGUAGGGUCAACCAUUUCAUAGCAUUUUGUUAAAACCUUUCUUUAAGGAUCAGACACAGUUUGGAAAGCAGAGAACUAAAACCCAAUGGCCCAGUUCUUCAAAUAUGAGUAUAAGCUAAACUAGUUCCAGCAAAUCAAGAUGGCUGCUUCCUGCAGUGCUGUUACUAAGGAGGAUGGGCAUGUUCAGGGCUGGCCUUGGCAUUUAGUUUGUUCUUGUAAUCCCAAGUAUGAAAAAUUAUUGAGUGUGUCUUUUUGAUUUUAUUAUGGAAAUGAGGUUGGACAGUCUUCAUCUGGCACAAAAAGAGUGGCAGGAUUCCUUGUUUCUCCUGAUCUCUGCUCAUUGCCAGCUCAGAAUUUCACACCCUUGAACAGAUUGACUGGUUUGGCUUGUGUAAUAGGUAGCCUGCUAUCCUGGACUACUUGAAAAAAGGAAAUCAAAUGGGAGGAAAGGAAAGAAAGAUAUGAAAACAGGGACACAAGGAGGUGAAAUGACAUAACUGCUCCACACUCGGAGUUCAGCAAGGAAAGUGACAGUAGGCAUCAGCCCUCCCAGCUCAUGUUACCAUGCUGAAACUUACAAAACUCUACUUCUUCAAAAGCUUGCCCUUUUGAUGAUACUGCAAAUAAUAACACAAUUGUACAGUGAUGAAUGGCAGUCCCGUGCCCUUACUGACAAGUUAGUGAAUGGACAGUACUGAAAAUAAUUUGUAAGAUGAUGAUGUUUAUGGUGAUGAUAACAUAAUAAAUCGAUAGCUGAAUU